rnacentral:rRNA from 1 species
UUUAUUGGAGAGUUUGAUCCUGGCUCAGGAUGAACGCUGGCGGCGUGCCUAAUACAUGCAAGUCGAGCGAAUGGAUUAAGAGCUUGCUCUUAUGAAGUUAGCGGCGGACGGGUGAGUAACACGUGGGUAACCUGCCCAUAAGACUGGGAUAACUCCGGGAAACCGGGGCUAAUACCGGAUAACAUUUUGAACUGCAUGGUUCGAAAUUGAAAGGCGGCUUCGGCUGUCACUUAUGGAUGGACCCGCGUCGCAUUAGCUAGUUGGUGAGGUAACGGCGCACCAAGGCAACGAUGCGGAGCCGACCUGAGAGGG